GUAUAGCUAAAAGACAGGAAAACUUUUGCUCCUCUGUCAAAACCCUGAACCCUCACCCUCCCACCCUGAGAGAACACGCCAGUCCUUGCCCCUCCCACCUUUCCCUUCCUUCCUCCCCGUCCCUGCCUCCCCUACCCAACCCUAGUGUAGGUGGCGGCUGUUCUUGGACAUGAAAGAAGCAGAUGAUGAAGAUAAGAACAGGGACAAAGGGAAACAAACUCACCAGGCAAUCUUGGAGCAGUAUGGAAAAUUCCUGAUGGGCACGCAGGUGCCGGGUGAAACUAUGGCACAAGGAACUCCAAUCAGUCAUGGACCAGUCCCAGUUGAUCCAGUAACAUCGGUUCAU